rnacentral:rRNA from 1 species
CCCUUAGAUGUCCUGGGCCGCACGCGCGCUACACUGAGUGUCUGAGAUACGAGUCUGCCUGGUCCGGCAAGGUCUAGGUAAUCGCUAAAAGACACAUCAUGCUUGGGAUAGAUUAUUGCAAAUAUUAAUCUUGAACGAGGAAUUCCUAGUAAGCGCAAGUCAACAGCUUGCGUUGAUUACGUCCCUGCCCUUUGUACACACCGCCCGUCGCUCCUACCGAUUGAGUGUGUUGGUGAGGAGUUUGGAUUGGCCUCGGAAGGUGGUUCGCCACCGUCCGUAGCUGAGAAGUUCUCCAAACCGCCCCACUUAGAGGAAGGAGAAGUCGUAACA